UGAUGAGUUUCUAACACUGAAGCAUCCCUUGGCAGUAAGGUAGCUCUCUUUGGAGCAGGCAGUAGAAAGCAUCCUAAAUAAAAUUGCUGGACCAGUGUGAUUGUUGUUUUAGAGGAAGAUGCUGUGCGGAACCCAGUGGCUAAUGGCUUACCGAGGAAAGUCAAUGACAAUGUUUUCCUGGCUAUAUCCUGUUUCAUGUAAGAUGUCCUGCCAUUGUGUAGAAGGUUGUCUAAAUGCUUUCAACUGUAGAACCUGGAUUUGACACUGGCUCUCGAUGCCUGGGCACAGUAAGGGGAACUCUGGCUACAUACAGACAGGACCGUGAUCUUUUGUUAACAUUGUCCCAGAUGGAGAGCGAAAUUCAAAACACAGGGCAAUAUUAAGGGCAAGACGUUAGAAAGACUGAUCCUGAGGAACAUGCAUUCAAUACAGCAAAAAACAGAUUCUUUGAGAAUUUGGAUAAAAGAUUUCCUUUGGCAAGUAUGGCAACAAUGAAUGCCUUUGAUGUGCAGUUAAAUCCCAAGAGGUUCCCAGAUGUUCCUCAAGACAUUGGGCCUUAUGGACAACAGGAACUUGAUCACCUCCUUGCAGAGAACUCCCAAGUCAUGGAUACAGACAUGUCAGAGAGACUUUUUACCUUUCAAGCACCCCAAUUUUUAAUUUGUCUCUUGCGGAGAUAGAUUUGUCUUUGCCAGAUCCUGUGAGGAUUUGAUCCUUAACUAUCCUGAUGAUUUUCCUGAUUUUGUAGUGUUUGUUCAGAUAGCUAUUUGAAUUCCCUUGAAUAGUGCAUCGUGUGAAAGAGGUUUUUCUGUUCAUUAUUUGAAUAAAACAAAGAUCAGAAAUCGAUGAGGUGAGGUGCAAUUGGAGUACAUUAUGAAAAUAACAAUAAAUGGGCCA